UUAUAUACAUAUUUUCAGUUAUUAUUUGAAAUUAAUGUAUGUCCCUGGAAAUGGGAGAUAAGAAAAAGGCAAAAGCUGGAACAUUUAUUAGGGAAAAUGAGAAUGACCCAACAAUGGUACCGAGUCCCAUUUCAUCCCCCACAUCUCCAAUUAUAUGGAAGUUCAGGCCACAAUCCACAUGGUUGAACCUCCACCUAUAAAUUCUUAUUUCUCUUCAUUUGUAACUCAUCGUCAUCAUUAAGCUCUUUUCAUUCUUUUACCAUUGUUUUUUAGCUCACAAAAAAUUCUCUCUCGAGUCUCUAUCCGUCUCUCUCCUUGUUUCAACCGAAAAAGCUGAGAAACAACCCACAGAGUUAGAACAGCUUUUUUUCUUAAUAUACAGGAAACAGAAUUUAUCGCCGAGAGAGAAAAUUACUAUUUGGGUUUCAAUUUGAAUAUUUCCUGGUAAGCUUCACCAAUUCAAAUUCUACAAAUUUUUUAUGGGUUGAUCAUCUUCGCCACCUUAGGCCUUCCUCUGAGUUUGGGCUCCGAUGAGAAGAUUUCCUGCAAUAAUGGGUA
rnacentral:lncRNA from 1 species